UGGGGAAUUUUGGACAAUGGGGGCAACCCUGAUCCAGCAAUGCCGCGUGUGUGAAGAAGGCCUUCGGGUUGUAAAGCACUUUUGUCCGGAACGAAAUACCACGGGUUAAUACCCUAUGGGGCUGACGGUACCUGAGGAAUAAGCACCGGCUAACUUCGUGCCAGCAGCCGCGGUAAUACGAAGGGUGCAAGCGUUAAUCGGAAUUACUGGGCGUAAAGGGUGCGUAGGCGGUUCGUUAAGUCUGUCGUGAAAUCCCCGGGCUCAACCUGGGAAUGGCGAUGGAUACUGGCGAGCUAGAGUGUGUCAGAGGAUGGUGGAAUUCCCGGUGUAGCGGUGAAAUGCGUAGAGAUCGGGAGGAACAUCAGUGGCGAAGGCGGCCAUCUGGGACAACACUGACGCUGAAGCACGAAAGCGUGGGGAGCAAAC
rnacentral:rRNA from 1 species